UAACGGUAGCAUUAGCGCUGUUAACGGUACAAGAAGACAAUGUCAGGUUGGAGAGAGCUGGCUUUGGGGGAUUUAAUAACCCACUGUGAUAAAAGCCAGGGAGAAAGGACAUCUAAAAAAAGGGUAUCUGAGCUGGUGGGAAUGGAUCCUCUCAAGCUCACUGUCACAGAGUGGUAACCAGUAUAUACGUAUGUGUCAUGGUUGACUACUGAGUGGGCAGAGGCCUGUUCUCUUAAAAAGAUGAACACUCACCUCUGUCAGAAGUUGGGUAUUAAGAGGAGCUUUUGCUCACCAUAUCACCCCAAAGAAACAGACUUGUGGAAAAAACUUAACAGCACCAUUCAAAGAUCUCUGGGGCAAGCUGUCAGGGGAAAAAUCGGAUAACAUGGGACCAGUAUCUGACUGCAGCUAUGCUUGGAAUCAGUAACCACAAAAUACGGUCCAUAUUACCUGGUAUUUGGUAGGGAGGCCAGAUACCCCACUGAGGUACCAAGUGAGUAUGAGAUCACAGAAGAGAAGGUGGAGACACCAGGGAGGGGAGGGGAGGGGAGGAGGUGGUUUGUGAGGGACUUCCGAAUCAACAUGGUGUGUAUCAGGAGGUGCAAGUAAACAUCAGGAAAUCCCAUCCAAAAAUAAGGAAAAGGAAAGAGGAGAAGGGUCAGGAGGACAAUUUCAAAGCAGGAGAUAUUGUUCUUAAAAAAUACAAGAGAGCAACAACAGA